GCGCCCGGCCGAGGCAAUGGUUUUCAGC
rnacentral:piRNA from 1 species